AUUUCCUGGAAACUUCUUAAAGUGAUAAGAGUGGCUCAAGAGCUGUGGAAAGUGACUGGUUCAGCGUCCUCCAAGAAGGAGAGUGAGGGUUCUGUACGUGUGCGAACCCAGGCCCUCCCUCCCUGGCUCUGAGUCACACAGGGCGGCCCCUGUGCGCGCUCCCGAGAGUCUUCAUGCCUCCUGCAGGGGGUGCCGAGAGUGCAUGGAGUCCCGUGUGCAGGGCGCCUGGCUCAGUUCCUGGCACCGAGGCCGCCCUCACACAGCAGUCCUCGUCCUACAUGUCCUCACCUUGCACUUGAGGAAAAUGGGGCUGCACACCACCCGUGACCAGCCCCUGGCCAGGCUUCCAGAGUAGCUUCUGCUGCAACCGCCAGCCACAGCAGGGCGAUGGGAAGGUACGUGGAGAAGGGUCAUCUGUGAGCUGUGUGGAACUUCUGCAGGACUGGGGAAGGCAUACCCCCUCCUCCAGGCUGCCCACGGGGAGUCGGCCGAGAGGAACAGCACAGAAGCCAAGAGGUCUUCAGUCAGAAGGCUCUGGGCCAAGGUGUUUCCAGGCUCGUGCACGCCGGGGGCACCUCGCUGUGCUGUGCCCCCAACCACCACACAUGCGCACACACACACACUCACACUCUCAGUGUUAGACCGUGUCGGAGAAGAGGCUGCGCUGAGGCCCAGAUGGCACCCAUGGUUCUCCAGCCUUGCGAGCGUGGAGUCCGAAUGGAAUAGCCUCCUCACUAUAGUCAUCAUGAUACUAACAUUUGUUGCAGGCACGUGCUUAACAGAUUGCAGCUGACUGCAGAGUCUGAGCCAAGCACAUCUGGAUCUCACUGAGGGCGUGGCAGAGAGCAGGGGCUUUGGAACUGGGUUCGCGCCCCAGCUGGGCCCCUCGCUAGCUGGGAGGGAGGCGGGGACUAGGCCCCGUGCUCGUCUGGGCUGGAGUUUCCUCUUCUGUAAAGUAGGGGUGGCAGCACCCACCACGCGGCAUUGCCUGAAAAGCCCCAGCCGGGCCCUCGGAGGACAGACAGCGAGUCGUGGCCAUUAUAACUGCUGUCAUUAUUUCGUUCUAGGGGCUGAUUGGAGGCCCUCUCUGGAGUUCGUCUUUGUUUCUCAAACUCCUUGCCAGAAAGCAUCCACUGACGUUAGCAGGAUGUCCGAGGAGCUCUGGCUGCGUUUCACCCUCAGCCCCAGGACUCGGCGUGAAUGACUCAGCUCCGACCGGGAAUCUCCCCUCGUUCAGUGCACACGUGAAUCUUCAGGGAAAUUCACAGAAAACUCGGGGAGAGACUUUUGGACGCGUUGCCGAGUUGCCCUCCUGAAAGGUCGUAGCCCUCUCCAGGCCCCCAGCAGCGCAGAGUCAGCGUUUCUGAAGUCUGCAGGUGGAGAGCCCCGGGCUCAGAGCCCUCCCAGCUGCCGGGUCCUGCGGCCGAGCCGUGAGGGCUGUGGGAGCCAAGCGCCUCCUCUCCCACUCCCCAACCCAGGUGCCUGCAGAGCGCCCACUGCCAGGCCGGGGCGGGGGCCCUCACAGACCCUCACCUCCCCCUGCCAUGCAGGCGCCCCGAUGUCUUCUCCCAGGCCUGCUGCCCGCCCCUCGUGCCGGGACAGCGAGCUUGUGAGUUAUCGGCAGCCUUAUUUCCCUCUACAGCUCCCACGGAGUUAACAGAUGUACGCACGUCUGAGGCAGUCAUGCGGCAAGAGACUUUGGGGCCAAUCCUUCCCGUUUUGACAGUGUGUAAUCGAGGUGAAGCCAUAAAUUUUAUAAACAAGAAUAAAC
ensembl:lncRNA